rnacentral:rRNA from 1 species
UACGUAGGGUGCGAGCGUUAAUCGUAAUUACUGGGCGUAAAGCGUGCGCAGGCGGUUGUGCAAGACAGAUGUGAAAUCCCCGGGCUUAACCUGGGAACUGCAUUUGUGACUGCACGGCUAGAGUGUGUCAGAGGGGGGUAGAAUUCCACGUGUAGCAGUGAAAUGCGUAGAUAUGUGGAGGAAUACCGAUGGCGAAGGCAGCCCCCUGGGAUAACACUGACGCUCA